CCUCAGCCUCCCAAAGUGCUGGGGUUAUAGGCAUGAGCCACCGCUCCUGGCUAAGCCACUAAGUUUUGAGGUGGGCUGCUACUUAGUAAUAGAUACCUGAACCUCCUUCCUCCCCAUCCCAGCCUUCUCCUCUGGGACUACUCCUGUGGUGUGCUGGUAAAUGUUUAACAAGCAGCUCUCUGCAGGGGACUGAGGGGAGCUAAUGUGAAGCGUUUGUCAACAUCUGUGGUGUAAAUAUUCUCAUGGCUGAUUUCAAGCUGCCAACAUGACAUGGCUGAACACGAGAUUGAGAAGAAACGUGCACCAUCUGUCCAGGAGCCGGCGAGCUGGAUCCAGCACACCUGCGUUCUCCUCCCCUGACACGUGACAACCCUGCAGAGAUCUGAGAUCAGCAGCUCAGAUUAGAUCCAGUCCAGGGCGACCAGGGUGCAUCUAGCCAUCGUGCCUCCUCCGACGUGAGAUGGUUUCUCAGUUCUUUCUCGGUUUUCAUGACCUUGACCCUUUUGAAAAGCACCGACGAGGCAUUUUGUGGGUGUUCCUCCACUUGGGUUUGUCGGAUGUAUUUUUCAUGAUUAGACUGGAGUUCUGCACUUUUGGAAAGAAUAACAUGGCGAAGAAGGGCCCUUCCCAUCACGUCAUAUCAGGAGUAGGUAAUUUCAACACAAUUUAUCACUGGUGACAUUAACCUUUGUUUCUUGAUCAAAAUGAUGACUGCAAGGUUUCUCCACUGCAAAGCUGCUAUUUCCCUUUCCAUACUUUGUUAGAAACGUAUCACUAAGUCCAGCCCACACUCAUGGAGAGGAAAAUUAAGCUCCAUUUCCUGGAGGGGAGUUAUCUCCGUAUAUUAUUUGCAAUUCUUCUGUACAGAGCUGUACCUUCGCUUCCAUUUGCUUAUUUACAAUGCAUUUUCAUUACCUCCUGUCCCCUCCCUCCAAGCUGAGUGGCUAGGUGAGCUUCUCCCCUGGGGCGUGUGCUAAGGGAGAGCUCCAUCCCUGUGCUUUCUCCUUGCAUUUCGUGAACUAUACCACAAUCAUUACUUUCCUUGUGAGCUUCCUUACCAUGGGACAGUUUUUAAAAAGUCAUUUAUUGAGCAGUCA